rnacentral:rRNA from 1 species
AACAUAAACAUAUUACCGAAGCUGUGGAUUGUCCUUUGGACAAUGGUAGGAGAGCGUUCUAAGGGCGUUGAAGCAUGAUCGUAAGGACAUGUGGAGCGCUUAGAAGUGAGAAUGCCGGUGUGAGUAGCGAAAGACGGGUGAGAAUCCCGUCCACCGAUUGACUAAGGUUUCCAGAGGAAGGCUCGUCCGCUCUGGGUUAGUCGGGUCCUAAGCUGAGGCCGACAGGCGUAGGCGAUGGAUAACAGGUUG